UGAAACCGCAGCCUGUUCUGGAACAAAUUUGAUGCAGCUGAAGUGAGGUCUUGGUGGGUUUUCAACAUGCCAGACUCUUGGAUUUCAUUCAUAUCCUGGGGGGAAAGUUAUGAUGCCAUUUGAAGAGGCUGGACUGGAGUUGGUGAGAUGUACAGCUCAUUAAUCAUGAUGUGGCAGGUGGCAAUCACUCUAACAUAACCAGGGGGAGGAGGCUGCUGAAGAUUAUCUCCGGGUUCACAACAUCUCUCUGUGUUCAGUUCCAUCAUGGAUGCCUGAAACAUAUUCAGUUGACCUAUUUGCCACCAGUGAGGUCCAUUCCAGGCAGGAAGAAAAAGGUGCAUGGAUUCAAAAAGCAGUUUUUGGCAGAAUGGCUGCUCCGAGCAACUCUUUUUACCAAGGGGAAAAGCAGAGUGCACACACGCAUACUGAAGAAAUGAAACAAAGUGCAGCAGUGGAGGCUGGUGUAUUAGGGCAAAUGGGACACUGCCCCACCAAGCUCUGCCUGCCCUCUGCCAGCCCCCACGUGCCUACCUCCUUACUUACAACCAGUCCAGCAGGUGGCAAUGGCUGUCAGCCUCCUCUUCCUGAGCUGUCAGUGUUGCCUUUGUAAACUCAGCAAGGAGCAGGAUGGGGACAAAACUGGAAUGAGUUGGCUCUGCUUGUCAUUGGCUCUGGUUCCACCAAUCAUUUUCUUUGGCUCCACCUACUUUUGGCCUCCCUGCCUUCUCUUCUGUUGGUCCCAAUGAGCACUAGCCUCCACUGAAAUGCAAACUUGCAGAUUCCUCCUCCAGUGACAAAAUAUCUUAGGAGUACUGAGGGAAGCUGAAGAGCCGGCCUAAGAUAUUUUCCUGCCUGAAGUGGAGCAGCAAAAUGUGCCCGCUUCCCCUUCCAAGUCAAGGUGUGGAGCACCCAAGGCCAGCCAAGCUUAUAUGGCUUCUGGAGCAGAAAUUCCCACAAGCACAUUAGUCCCAUCCUGCCAGUAAAAACAUAAUAACAAACCUAAAUAGCUAACAAUGUGCUGUCCUUUCAUUGCACCCACAAUCUUCUGCACGAGGCAGACGCUUCACUCUACCUAACAGAAGAGCUGGCCCUGAAAGCCAGGUGAGUUUUGAAAGACUAUUUACAUUUCUAAGGACUUGUGUGUGUGUUGUGCCCACCCAACCCCCUAAUUCUUAGCAGGUUUUGCCUAAAAUGGAAAUUUGAAGCGAACUCAAGGUGCUCUGAAAUUUCAGGGGCAAAUAUAUGACGAGCAAAAUUUCUUCUCACACAUGUCUGACUGGAAGUUAGGCGUUUUAGUGUCUCCUCAUCCUCAGCAGUUACAGGACUAUCUGUCCCAAGGGUCAGAUAUGGGAAGGCAGCAAAAUUAAGCAGUGCUUCUCUUUGGCCAGCCAAGCCUACAUUGUGCAAAACGUCCCCCCCCCCGUGCCUUCCUCGGUAUUGUCCUUCUCCGCAUCAUUUGUGGAAUCUAUGGCACAAGUCAUUACAUUUUUACAGACGGAAGCCAGUUUUCAUCAUACCCUGAAGAUCCACUUCUUUACCCUGGCCUUUGGCACUUGAGAUUUGUAGGACCUGUUCUUGUGAUUGUAAUCUGCUUUAAAUUGUUUUUAAUGUUGUAUUUUAAAUU